rnacentral:rRNA from 1 species
UACGAAGGGGGCGAGCGUUGUUCGGAAUUACUGGGCGUAAAGGGCGCGCAGGCGGCUCUGAAAGUCAGAUGUGAAAGCCCCGGGCUUAACCUGGGAAUUGCAUUUGAUACUCUGGAGCUUGAGUACGGGAGAGGAGAGUGGAAUUCCCAGUGUAGAGGUGAAAUUCGUAGAUAUUGGGAAGAACACCGGUGGCGAAGGCGGCUCUCUGGACCGUUACUGACGCUGAGGAGCGAAAGCGUGGGGAGCGAACAGG